GCAUUUGUUCCUUAAAAUAAAACAGUAUUUUUCUCUACCUUUCCCUUGGAGAUGGCCCUUCUUUACUAAGGUCUAUAGAGGGCCUUAAUAGGCUGCUUUUAAUAGCGGUAUGUGGGCAACAGGAUGGUUAAUUUCACGAGUAUUAUUAGUUUAUGAAUAUUCAUUAAAUUUGUUUUUAAGCAGCAAUUCAACUUUGUAAAUGGUUGCAGCCAGAAAAAGCUCUAAUUAGAGGAAUUAAUUAGGACUUGGAAAGGUGAACAGGGAUUUGUGGGCAUUCAGAAGGGGUAUUUUCUCAACAAGAGACAGAUACCUCCCAGGGAGCUGGCAAUACAGUUUGCACGUACACCAGGUGAAAGAGAACAGUGAGUUUCAAGCCUUAAGGCAGAGUGGAGGUCUGUUGUUCAAGUUAGCACAGGACAUCUUGCAGAUUACAGGACAUCCAGGUCUUUCCUUGGUGGAAUUCAUCUUUUAAAAGAUCUUGUUACCAACAUUCAAAACUCACAUUUAAUCCUAGUAAAAAGUUAAACCCAGUUAAACAAGAAUAAUGUGACAAUGGAAACUAUUUUCCAUAGUCGGAGUGGUGCGUCUUUCCCUCUCAGUUAUCUCCAUAACAUGAUGACGUCCCUGCCACCAGAAACCCAAAGGAAGCAGCUGCUCUGAAUAUGUACAAACAAAAGAAGCUGUUACUAUAGCAACCAUAGAACUCUGUGGAAAAGCUCUCCCUUUAGCACUAGCCAAUCCCUCUCUUCACCCCUCCCUCCCAUCCUUUUGUGCACCGGUACACACUGCCUUUGGACAGAUAUGUUUUCAUCCCUAGCCCAUAUUCAUGCCCAUGAGCCAAAUGCGGCAUGGCUGAAUGGAAUCUGUGGACUGCUGAUUCCACAGUUGCUAAUGAAUUGGAUGAAAGAUAGAACUGUUUUGACUUCAGAGCCAUACGAUAAGAGGCAGCCAUCAGAGAAAGAGAGAGAGAGAAGAUCUUUUAAACUCUUUAUAAUCUGAUAGGAAUAAUCUCAAAGAUCAAAUGUUAAAUUUUUGAAAAGCAAAGUGAAGAACUUAUGUAUAGAGUAUUAUACCUUUUGUGCAAAAAUAAAAAUGACAUCUGCAUGUGCGUAUGUGUGUGUGCAUGCAAUUUGCUUAGAACCGCUCUGAAAGGACACACGCACGCAAAGACACUAGAAACAUCAAAAGUUUCUAGAGAGGUAGCCGGGUAUUUGGGUAACCUAGGUGGGAGGGAGACUUCAUUUUAUACCUUCUGUACCUUUUGAAUUUUUUAGUGUUACCGAUUCAAAAAUAAAUUUAUGUAAAAUUGUCUAAAAACUAUUGCUUUCUAAUCUUCUUGCUCAGAUGUUGGGCAGACAACUGAAAGGAGACAGCUGUGAGAGUGACCAAAAUUAAAGCCCAUGAUGAGACUUCUCUCCUUCCUCUUCAACUAUUCUUUGGCUGACAUAUCCCUCUUGCUACCUUCCCAUUGUUUCCGCUGUCCUAUUGAUCUUGGAAACAAAGGCAGGGAAGGAAUAACAUUGGUUAAGGAUGAAAAUCAUUUCCAGAUUUCCUCAAGAUAAUUUGAGACCACCCUAGGUCAGAGAACAGUUUUGUAUAAUCUUGAGGGACUGUCCCUGCAGAUGGAUUUGUAACAAUAUGUAUUUCUUAUUCAUUCCUGAGUGGAAAGAUGUGAAAUUUGUUAAUGGCUACACACAUGUAAGUAGGCAUUGAUGUGUUCACCUGAAGCUCACCCAUCACUUUUGAGGCAUGUCUGGUGUAAGCCAAGUAUCAUCUAGUACACCUAUGUAUUUAGUAGUAACUCAACAAAUAUUAAUUGAUAUUAAGGAUCAUAAAUAAACUCAGUGUGCAGCCAGCUUGACUCAGAUCUAUAUAAACAGACUGGUUAUCAUUUUAAGGGCCUUUUCCCUGGAAAAACAUUUAAUUAAACUUUUUAAGAGUUACUAGAUACAGGAUCAACUGUAAUGUAUCAUUAUGUGUCAUGAAACUUUUGUUAGUGCUUUUUAGAAAGAACUCUACUUUUGGUAACUAUUUUCUUCAGAUGAGAUUAAUAUGCACAGUUAACCAGGUUAUAUUUUAAAAAUCAAUAAAAAUUCUGUAAUAUCAUAGACAUGAAAAAGAACAAAGCCAACUAAAAUAUAUAGAUAGAAGCCCAGCUUAAAAAGAGAUCUCUGCUGGCCAAGCUUUUUUGUUUCAUUUUUGAGGAACUCACUGAUUUUCUGAUCAAUUUGGAACUUGGACUUAUGAAAAAAUAUUUUGACAACAAAGAGAUACUAGACAGAUUUGAAAAGUUCACAAAAGGGAUUCCAUUUCCAUGUUCUUGACCUUCCUUUUGCUAAUAAUCAGGACUUUCACAAAUUCACAAGCCCUUUCUUCUACUUAGAUUUUUGUUUUAUUUACUUUUACAUAAACUUUCGUUCCAUGUUAAGGUACAUGUGCAAAGUGUGAGCAACAUUGGCUAGCGUUGGAAGUGGACUAUUCCAGUAAGUAAGGGGCACAGGUGAUUUCAAGCCUUCUGGCCUUUUGUGUCGCACACACACAUAAAUAUGCACACACACACACAAAUACUUUAAAAAGAAAGAGAAAGAAUAUAGGAAAGAAAAUGACAUGUUAAGAUUUUUUUAAAUAGUGGAGAAAGAGAGGAAAAGAGAAUGAAAAGCAGAACAUUUAAUGUAAAAGAAAAAAUGCAGAAUUUUGGCAUCAGGGUGAAGAUAAGUGAAAUUCAUUCAUUUUGUUAUAUUUUUCAUUAUAUAUUCAUUUUUCAUUAUAUGUUGGACCAGCUCCACAAAAGACAGUAAGAUGACCACUCCUCAUUCAUACUAAACACACUCUCUAUUAUAUUCAGUGAACAUUUUCCUUAUCUUUAGAAACACCUACUGUUAGGAGAACAGUGUGGUGUCAACAAAGUAGGCUAUAUUGCCUCAAACUCCUAUGAAGAUGAUCCUCAAACACAUAGCAAAGACCUACCAUAUAUUGGAAACUCCACAGAAUGGGAAAUAUUGAAAUUAUCAAGAAGAAUUCUAACAGGGUGAGGUUCAAGGUGUGCAUGCUCAGUGUUGACAAUCUUAGUUCUCAUUCUUAAACAUAAAGUCAGAAGUGAGCUGAUAGUUAUUUAAAUAUUUACAUAGAUAAAAAGACAUGUGUGUACAUAUUUUUUGGACUUGUACACAUACCAGGAUUCAAGUAUCAUAUAUUAAAGGAGUUUUGACAUUUAUAUCUUCUAUUCAUUUUCCUCUCCCUGCACCCUGAAUUCAGGUCUGUUCAGGCUUUCUUUCUUUUCUUACACCUUGCCCUCCUAAGGGUAAGUUUAUUGUUGAAUGUUGGCAUCAGGAGCAGACUCAGACUGGUCUUCUAUUUUCUGCUCACCUGUCUUCUUGUUCCUCCUUCCAUAUCCCUUUCCUACACACAUCAAACAAAAUCUGUAAAGUCAGUGUAAAUAUUCAUGUCAGUAUCAUGACAUUUUAAUAUAUGCUUAAUUUCUUUUUAAGUCUCUAUUUGAUGUUUAUAUGGCUAUAUAUGUCUAACAAUUUAAAAAUAUAACUGCCUUAAAAAUUAUGUUAGCUAACCAAAAUUUGUUGGCUAGGCUUUCUUUACUAUUUAACGUAAAUUUAUUUUUGUUGGAGUAGACUUAUAUAUGAUCCUUCAUAACAUGCUAAAAUAUCAUGAAUUUAGGAAAAUAAAUGUAAACUUGAAACUGCAUCUGCUUAGAGAUAUUUGUGUUUACAUCUGGUAAGUGCUUUUAAUUUUUGGAAAAUAAUUCAUAAAUUGAUUUUUCUGGCAUCUAUAUCCAAGCCUACAUUGUUUAUCCUCUGUCAAUUUUGUUCUAGCUCUUGUACUUGUGGUAAUUUGUAGAGGGAAAGAUUAUUUAUGCCUGGGCAUAAUCCAAGUGAAACAAUUAGUCUAUUUUGUCCAUUGUUUUGAAAAAGCAUUUAUAUAUCAUUUUGCAUUUUUAGUAGUUUCUAAUGAUACCUUAGAAUAAUCUUGCUGGUUUAUACCAGAUUUUAUCAACUUUAUCAACAUUUAGAUAAUUGGGGAAGAAAGUACAAAGUCCUGUCUAAUUAGAAAAUAUUAUAAAGGAAGCUACAUGGAGAAAAAUAUUCCCUUGGAAAGGAUUUCCUUCUUAAUAUUUAUAUAAAAUAUUGCUACCUUGUACCUUGAAUUUUUAUGGACACACGAGCCAUGAAAUCAAAGCAUCACUGGUUCUUAUAGAUGUUGAUAUUUUUCUUUUAUAGAAUGAAACUUUCCAAGACAUCACACUAACUGUAAAUUUUCCGGUUUCUGACUUACAGUUCUCUGACUUGAGAUUUACAUGAAACCUUAGGGAAUUUUAUAGUCAUAGUAAUACAUUAUUGGAGAAUAUUGACCCAUUCCUGAUGUGGAAAAUAUGACAAAGGAAACAGCAAAUAUUUGGAAAGAAAAUAGUAGAAAGAAAGUUUACAAACACUGUUUACUGGUAUAAAAUCUUACCUUCAGGCAGAGAAACUUCACACACCCACACACACACUUCACACACGCUCUCUCAUGUGCACACACACACCGCUAAGCCCUAAGGCAUCUUUAUUAUGCUUUCCUUGAUCCACUAUCAUACUUGUCACAUUGUUUACACAUCUGUCUGAUUAAAGACAAAAAAGCUAAAUUUUAUCCGCAGAGGCUGUUGUAGUAGUUGGCACUCAGUAGGUACUGAAUAAAUAUCUAAUGGAUGAAGGAACCAAGAAGCACAAGUCAUGUAAAACACUUGUGCUACAAAUGCUUUCUUUCCAGAUCAAUUUUCCCCAAGUUAAUCAACCUAACUCAGGAAAAAUUACCAGCCCUCCAACGUACCCUGGUCCUUUGUUUCUUCAACCCAAUUCCUAAUACCUCCUUUCUUUCUUUUGUCUAAUUCAGUCCAACAUUUACUGCCUCUGGAGACAUCCAGCUCUGACCACCCUAUUUCCUACCAAUUUACCGGCAGAAAUAGAAAGAAGCAUACUGUGUAGCUUUCAGUGAGUAAUUUGCAGUUUUAGGUAAUAAAAAUCAACAGUGUAUGGAUGCUAUUUGCAAUGAACAAACAAUAUCUACUUGGCCUAUCGUAAAUGGGAAACAAAAUGGCAUAGUGGUAAUUGAUAUAAGAAUGAAUAUAGAUCAAAGACUUUUUCUUUAAAAUGCUGACCAGUUGGUAAUUUAAAAAGUGACUUGGAAAUAAUACUUUUAGUGUUUAUUGAGUACUCGGAAUGGUGCUUAGCGAACUAUGGUCACUGUCUUAAAGGAGUGUACAUUCAUUCUCUUAUGAAAGUCAAUUUGUAUUUGUAUAAUUCAGACAAAGUUAUACAAGCUUAAAGAAAUGUAUCAAUUGGAGGAGAUCUUGGGACAUGGUUCCUGAACUACUCUUAAAAGAGUGGGUAAAAAAAUGGAAAGAAGAAAAAUCCGUAGUAGCAGUGAAGGAUCUUAUCGUCUCUUUUCUAUUCAUCAUAUAAUAAAAUGGUUUCAAGGUGUCAUAAGGAAUCUGUUAUUUUAAUGGCUGUAUAUCUUUCUUUCCUCUCAGUCAAGUUAAAAACACUGCUUACAUAAUAGUUUCUUAAAUACAUAGAAUAUAUUGACAACUUAUUCUGGAUAAAAUGCAGUUUAAGAUCUAAAGAAGACAGAGGGAUGCAGAAAGAAAGGGAGUCUAGCCGCCCUUGGGACCUAGAGAGAUCAACAAUGGAUAACGACUUCCCAAAUCCUCUACAACACUGAGGGACUCACCUUUACUGUGCUUCCUUUCCUUGGAGUAUCAGCACCCAACCUAAACUAGCUUAUGGAGAGAGUUGAGACUUAGGAGAACGAGAGAUGCUGUUGAAAUUAAAGGAAUGUUUAAACAUUCCAACUGUUGGAAGGACAGAAGCUGUAGCACUGAUACAGCCAUAUCUCAGAAGCAACUGAAACCACAGACUCAAAUACCACCUGACACACUUGUCUAAUUCCUGUGUGAUGUGCAUUACAUUCUCACACAGGUUUUCUCCAACUGGUAGAGGGGAAUGUACUGUUAAAAGUUGCCAGGUUUGGGCUGGCCUGGUGGCGCAGCAGUUAAGUGUGCACAUUCUGCUUCAGCAGCCUGGAGUUUGCCA